AACAGGAUGGUAGACCACACACUAUAAUAUGUAGUACCAACUAAUGAAUACACAGAAUAUUAUAGUCGGUUCGCUAAACUCAGUCUCAGUACUACUGAGUCUCAGACACAACUGGCUAGUGAUUUUAGUAAAUAAUUUUGCCAAUUUCGUAAAAUUGGCAAAAAAAAAUAAUAACUAAAUAGUUAAUAAUUACUAAAUAGUUAGUAAUUUUGGCAAAAUUGGCCAAAAACAAAAAAAUUGCCUACUAAAAUCACUAACCAGUUGUGUCUGAGUUUGGGGAACGACUAUACUAAUAAACAAUUUCUAAGCUGUUUUAUAAUAUUUUGUGAGUUCGUUAAUCAUAUUUUUUAUUUAAAACUAAAAUUUGUUAAUAAUGCUUAGUAAUGCAUAUAUUUUGUAUUUUUAGCUUUCCAGAAGAUCCUGCGAAGAAGGCAUGAAGUAUAGAUCUGAUUUGUUAAUAGAGGAGUAUGUUCAAAACAUUUUUUAGAAAAAGAUAUUGACAGAACUUCACUUUCAUCUGUUCGUUUGAGAGACUGUGCUGUUCCAAUAGCUUAUGUCACACAGAAUCAGCCGAGAGAAGUGGUCUACAAAAAACCAGGAAGGAAAUGGAAUAUGUGGCUACGAAAAGCAAAAGAAAGGUUUACAAAGCAAAUGUGACACAUUUUUUUAUAAUAUUUAGGAAUGUCAGUAAAUUACAUUAAAAAAAUGUAUGAAAAGAUUUUUUGCAAUAAAAAUGUUUAUAUUUA